GUCUCCUUCCAUAGUGUGGAAGCUUUGUUCUUUCACUCUUUGCGAUAAAUCUUGCUGCUGCUCACUCUUUGGGUCCACACUGCCUUUAUGAGCUGUAACAUUCACCGCGAAGGUCUGCAGCUUCACUCCUGAGGCCAGCGAGACCACGAGCCCACCAGAAGGAAGAAACUCCGAACACGUCCGAACAUCAGAAGGAACAAACUCUGGACACACCACCUUUAAGAACUGUAACACUCACUGCGAGGGUCCGCAGCUUCAUUCUUGAAGUCAGUGAGACCAAGAACCCACCAAUUCCAGACACACCAUGUUAACUGUAUCUGCAAAACAGAGCCGUGGGACCUCUGGAAGUCUGACCAACCUAUUUCCAACUGUGCUUCUAGAAGCAUGUUCUGUCUUCAGAAUCUGGUUGGCAUCAAUGCUGAGACCUAAACCACAAGCAUGAGGCCCUCACCAGACUCCACCAGAAGUGGCCACCCAAUAUUGAACUUCCCAGCCUUCAGAAUUAUAAUACUCAUUCUCCGGGCAGCAGACAAAAGACUUGGAGACAUACACAGCUGAAGGAAAUGAAAAGGCAACAAGGCUAAGAGAACAAAGAUGAGCAUUGCCACGGUCCGGAGGAUGGUGGUGGAGGAAGCCUUCUCUACGCUGGUGCCUCUAUUGGAACUUUCAGGAAAUGAACAUGAACAUUGCCCUGAGAUCAUCUUGUGAGGCAGCUGGUCUAGCCUCCUGGAGGAGAAGCAGUUUUGUGGAGAAGAUUCCAGGCAUCCCUGCCAACAAGCACCAACUCCAGAUAUAUGAGGAAGAGUAGUUUACAACUGACACUGUUUGGAAUUGCUGGCACAUGGUGAUAAUCAAAGGCCUACCUAGUAAGCUCCUUCAUUAUAAG
rnacentral:lncRNA from 1 species